rnacentral:rRNA from 1 species
GACGAACGCUGGCGGCGUGCCUAAUACAUGCAAGUAGGACGCAGUUGCGAACGUGUGAGUAACGCGUCGGUAACUGCCUAUUAGAGGGGGCUAACUAUUGGAAACGAUAGCUCAUACCGCAUACUAGUAGAUGUACCUGCGUUGUAUUAGCUAGUAGGUAGGGUAAUGGCCUACCUAGGCGACGAUACAUAGCCGACCUGGGGGGGUGAUCGGCCACACUGGGACUGAGAACCGGGCCAGACUCCUACGGGAGGCAGCAGUAGGGAAUCUUCGGCAAUGGGGGGAACGCUGACCGAGCAACGCCGCGUGAGUGAAGAAGGUUUUCGGAUCGUAAAGCUAUGUUGUUAAGGAAGCGGUACUUAACGAGAAAGGGACGGCUAACUACGUGCCAGCAGCCGCGGUAAUAC